rnacentral:rRNA from 1 species
AGUGAACGCUGGCGGUAGGCCUAACACAUGCAAGUCGAACGGCAGCACAGUAAGAGCUUGCUCUUACGGGUGGCGAGUGGCGGACGGGUGAGGAAUACAUCGGAAUCUACUUUUUCGUGGGGAUAACGUAGGGAAACUUACGCUAAUACCGCAUACGACCUACGGGUGAAAGCAGGGGAUCUUCGGACCUUGCGCGAUUGAAUGAGCCGAUGUCGGAUUAGCUAGUUGGCGGGGUAAAGGCCCACCAAGGCGACGAUCCGUAGCUGGUCUGAGAGGAUGAUCAGCCACACUGGAACUGAGACACGGUCCAGACUCCUACGGGAGGCAGCAGUGGGGAAUAUUGGACAAUGGGCGCAAGCCUGAUCCAGCCAUACCGCGUGGGUGAAGAAGGCCUUCGGGUUGUAAAGCCCUUUUGUUGGGAAAGAAAAGCAGCAGGUUAAUACCCCGCUGUUCUGACGGUACCCAAAGAAUAGCACCGGCUAACUUCGUG